AUGCCGGAGGGGGUUAAUAAUACAACUAUUGUGCUCAUUCCCAAGGUGAAGAAUCCUCAGUCAAUUAAAGAUUUUCGGCCAAUUAGUCUAUUCAAUGUCAUAUAUAAAAUUAUAUCCAAGUGUCUUGUUAACAGACUGAGGCCGCUGUUGGAUGGUAUGAUCUCUCCUACCCAAAGUGCCUUCAUUCCUGGAAGAUUAAUUUCUGAUAAUGCUCUUAUAGCUUUUCAGUGUAUGCAUUCUUUGAAUACGCAAAAAGAUGGCAGGGGUGAAUUUUGUGCGUACAAAUUGGAUUUAACUAAGGCUUAUGAUCGUGUGGACUGA
rnacentral:rRNA from 1 species